CCGCUCUUAAAGAGGCCGCAGGACCGCGAGGCUGCUGCAGCCCCGCACGCACACGCGGCUCACCUCCAAACUGCACGUGAAGCAGAGGGCGACUGGUCUGGUGUCAGGUCUCGAUGUCUGACCCAAGAGCAGCUAAUAAAGUUAAAAUGACCAGUCAGUCACAGCACGACUCACAACCUCAGAAGGAUCUCCAUCACAGUGUCAUCUAGUGGAGGGAGAGGGUCUCUGCAAAUAUGCGCACUUACUCUCACUGGACACUUCAUUAGGUACACCUCACUAGCACCAGAUUGACCCUUCAGAGCUGACAUCAUCGCACAGCUGAGACCACCCCAAACCAGGCAGGAUGGAUCCAGAGAUGGUCAAUGGGAAAAUCCCAACAGAUCCUGAAACAAUGCUCAGUUUGAACUGGAGCAGCUCAUCGUCAUCUUGUCUACGUGCUGAGAGCACUGAGCUGCUGCUGUGAUUGGCUGAUUAAAUAUCUGAGUUAAAAUGGAAACAAUUAAAAUGAAGGGAGUGCCAAUAAAACACAAAUGUGUGACUGCUCCGGGACAGAGGUGAUUGGGUGGUGUGAACUCUUUCCCUGCUCUAUCACACACACACCAUCUCCAUACCCGCCUCCACCUCUCCCCAACCACCCCACAAGCACUCUGAUUGUGUUUGACACUGUUGUUCAUACAAGAUUGUGUUGUAUAUAAGACUUGUUAAGUGUCACACUGAGGGGUGUGGGAGAACUGCAAUUUUAAAUUCCUGUGUAUGAUCUGUACAUGUGGUUUCUGACAAUAACACUAACUUUGAAGUAUGAAAAACAUCUGAAUGUUUUUUGUCAACUUUUUCAUUUAAACUACGCAUGCUAAGUGCAUCACGGGUACAUUUCACAGGCCCAGUGUCCUGAAAGCUAAAAAGAAUGAAGUGUUUUAUUAUUAUUAUUGUGACUGAGUGAUGUUUAAAUUCAUAUCAUGAUGACACACUGCUCUCCCCUACACAAGCUGUUACAGGUCACAAGUAUCAAUACCAGUACCAGUAAUAUUGACCCUCUACUUACUUGGCCUUGGAUUAAUACUAUAAGUAUUGCAGUACUGUGCAGCAGUACCUGAAACCACAAACAGAAAACCUGCUUCCUGACUUUCCCUGAAAACUGAUGAACAUUCAAUUAACUCAAGCAUCAGACUUUAACAUUUAGACUUUAUUAAAAAAUGAUUUUCCAAACGAGGAACAAACAUGAAAAAACAUCUUUUUGAAUAUGUUAGUGUUGGAGCACCGUGGGUGGGCGCACAGCUUCACUCUCACACAGGCUCAGAAUGGCGAGCGACCGAGGUCAAAGUUUAACUCUGGGCUUCAUGUAGUGUUUCCUGCAGCCGCUCCACCUGCCUGGAGCUGCCGAGGAUUCAACCUCCUGAGCCGACAGGCUCGUUUACAGCCUGUGACCAUGCCUGCGGUCUGUGUGGAGACACCAUGCUGAGGCACGAGAGACGGUUUCUGUUAAAUGAGGAAGGAUCAGCGUAAAAAUGAGGUAAAAAUGAAGGUAUAAAAUAAAAGCACUGACUCAGCAUCUGUAGAAAAAUAGGACAAACCCGUGACGGGUUCUGUUUCUGCAGCUCAACCAAAAAAGAAAAAAGAAAAAAAAGAAA